ensembl:lncRNA
GGUUGCCAGGAAGUGUCAGUCUGCCUCAGGAUAGGAAGACCCUACAGAGGGAUCUGGACAGGAUCUGUUGUUGAGUCCCUCCCAAUAGCCAUAUAAACGUGACAGCCAAGAUGUCUACCACAGCAUUAAAGGAAGAAUUAAGAGCAGCUUAUUAUAACAACAUGAAGAACAAACCCUAAAUACUUUUCUGAGAGCUCCAUGACGGUGACCUAAGAUUCCCUGAAAACAGUACAGCUCACAGACCUUAUCGCAGCAUAUCUGUAUGUUGUUACCUGAGAGCAAUUUAAUAAAAAAGAUAUUAUA